CCAUGAUUUCUUGAGAUAAGUUGUACAGAAUUUCUUCCAGUAUCAAGUAAAAGCUUUCUUGAAGGGUUCUUUGGGUUUGGAAUAAUGUUAUGUUAAUGUUUGCUGGGUCACGUUAGGUAAAACAUUAACGGUCGACCGUGUCGCCAGUGAAUGUUACAUUUUUCAAACAGUUGUAACGCUGUCCUUUCUGCUGUUUUAUGUUGCUCUUGCAAAAAAAGUGCUAGCUUGUAAUUUAAUGGUAACUUUAAGUUAACUUUAAACCCACGGAGGAAAUGUUCUGUGGCAAGGCAGUUAAGACAUACGGGGUUAACGAUACCUGCUUCAUUGUAAACCACGUUGUUUAUUCAAGUGAUUUUAUUUAUUUUUUUCACUGGAGAGAAAAUGUAUCUGACCUGCUACAGUUACUGUCGGGCUGCUGUUUAGUUACUGCUUUAAAUGUGCAAUAGCGUUACAUAAACGCCAAUGUCAAGAUACCAAAGAUCUAACCUUAACGUUAAUAGCUCACCUUAAGGAGCAUAUUGUGGAAUGACGUCGUCCAGUGAAAGGAUGCUCACAUAUAUUCAAGUUAACCGCCCAGAUGUAACAGAAACACAGAUAUUUUGCUACAGACUGUACUAAGUUACAGGGAUCUCAGCAUCAUCUGUUCCAGUUGAACCAGAUGAUGCUGAACCAGAUAGCCCUCAAGUGUAAGUUGUGUACAAAGACAGGCAGAAUUUCAGUGAUCUUUUUCUCAGUUUCCGCUACCUGCCUUGAACAUACAAAACACUGUUGAUGAGAAAACUAUACAUGAGUUGGGUCAGACAUACUUUGAGUAAAUUGACUGCUAAAAAAUUACAUAUUGUUAUCAGAUGAGGACGUCACCAAAGUUUGUGAGUCUGUCAGGAAUUUGAUCUGUUCUCCGCAUGUCAUACAGGCCCAAUGAGGACAGCAUACUUAAGAAACACAGUGGUGAGAAGCGAAGAUAUGCAGCAAAGGGCCCAAGCCAGAAUCUAACUUUGGCUGCUGCAAAACCAUUAUGUGUUCUUAAACAUCUGCCAGUGGUUGCACAUGACAUGGACCUCAUCAACCUCAAGGAUAAAUAGAGCUACAACCUUCCUGAGUGUCCUGAGGUCCACAGGCUGUGGAGAGGCAUAGCAGCUGUUUAUACGAAAUACCUUGGUUCUGUCUACUGCUGGAUUUUUCAAUAGAUUUCAGCAUUUAUGUCAGAGAGGAUGACACCAGUCGACAGUGAACACCUGGUUGACAACUUGUAAGUCUUCAAGCAGAACACACCUGCUCAAAGUUCCAGUUUCCUAAACUUCGUACCAUGUCUGUAUGAGACUCUCCCACCUGUCUUCAAUCAUGUCAGGACCCAAUGACUCCAACACCAGUCUUGUGAGGCUCAUUAGAGGGAGGAUCAUGCCAGUUCACCAUCAACAUAUGAUGGACAACAUGUGAGUGGUGACAGUACACUUUGAAGUUCAAGUUUCCUGAACAUCAAGUCUGUGUGAGACUCAGUCCCAUGUUGAGCGCCCUGUUCAUUCAAGUCUGGACGCAGUGACUCAUCACUCUUGAUCAACCUGGGUCAAGUGGCUAAUUUCAUAUUUGGUGUGUAUGGACACCUGUUUUUUCAAGAUCUCAUCACUGCUUUGUGAGUAUACUGAACAAGUUGUUGGAUCUGUUCAAUCUGUUUUCCAAAAGGUUGUGUACAUGCAAAAACAGUUUCUUAAAGUUUAUUAAUGAUAGUCUGUACAUUGGUUUGCAGUGGGCUUUAUUUGUUAUGUCCUUUGCAUAAUUUAAGUCUUUGUAAAUUUAAGUGGUUGACUGUAAAAUUCGUAGCCACCAACUUUAUGGCCUGAUGUAUUGUAUGUAGCUCAUUUUUUGCAAUGAAAUUCUGGCAACCACUCCUGCUAUUAAUAUACUGUAAAGUUGAACUUAAUAAAUGCCGUAAUAUAUCAUA